rnacentral:rRNA from 1 species
ACGGCCAUACCAUACUAAAAACACCGGUUCGUGUCCGAUCGCCGAAGUUAAGCAUCAUCGGGCGCGGUCAGUACUUGGGAAGGUAACCAAUUGGGAACACCGCGUGCCGUUG